rnacentral:rRNA from 1 species
UACGUAGGGGGCAAGCGUUGUCCGGAAUCAUUGGGCGUAAGAAGCGUGUAGGCGGCCAGAUAAGUCCGCUGUGAAAUACUCGGAGGCUCAACCUUCGAGCUGUCGGUGGAAACUGUCUGGCUAGAGUCCGGAAGAGGAGAAUGGAAUUCCUGGUGUAGCGGUGAAAUGCGCAGAUAUCAGGAAGAACACCCGUGGCGAAGGCGGCAUCCUGGACCAAUUCUGACACUGAGGAGCGAAAGCCAGGGGAGCAAACGGG